rnacentral:lncRNA from 1 species
UACCAAAACAUUAAUUUCUUUAGGGUUUUUGUUUCUGAAGUGGGUUUUGGUCGAAUUUGCUGAAACUGUGAAAAGAUUGAAUUUUUUUGGUCUGAAUUUAGAGGGUUGGUGUAAAUGCAGAGAAGGAAGAGGAAUAGCGUAUGGGGCAGUAGUUACCUGAAAUUGACUGAUCAAAUGGGAUGCAUGAAGCCCUUUGAAACUACGUCGUUUUGAUGGCUGGAGUGUGAAACCAUUGCCGUUUAAGGGGGUACAAGCAGACAUUUUCUUGAAGAAGGAUUUUUGUUUUUUUUUUUCAGACUAAAUUCAUAAAGACCCAAGUUUUAAUUGAAGAAACAGAAAAUUUUGAGGUGAAAAAAAUGGCGGAAUAAUACUAUCGGAGAAGAAUCGAAAUGAAUGGAUGAUAUUUGGUGGGAAAUGGUAAGAUCAUCACCGGGUAUUAAUUCGGGUUUGGUAAUGUUGGGUCUUGACCCGGUUAAGAAUAUGGGCCUAGUGUUGGGUAAAGGCCCAAAAAGAAAGAGAUGCAAGUUAUAUUAUUUUUCUCAUAUUUGAGUAGUUUUGAAUUGACG